UCAGAAGAGGGCACCAUAUCUCAUUACAGAUGGUUGUGAGCCACCAUGUGGUUGCUGGGAAUUGAACUCAUGCCCCCUUGAAGAGCAUCUGUGCCAUCUCUCCAGCCCUCAAGUAACUCUUUAAAUCAAUGUGUGAAUGUGCAGGUGUUCGUGUGUGUGUGUGUGUGUGUGUGUGUGUGUGUGUGUGUGUGUGUGUGUGUGUGUGUGUGUGUGUGUGUGUGUGUUGGAGUUAAUGGCCAACCUAAGAUGUUGGUCCUUGUGUUUUAUUUACUUUGUUUGAUACAGGGCCUCUUGUUCCUGGCUAUAUAUGCCAGGCUACCCGUCCCCAGGGCUUCUGGGAGAUUAUCUUCCACCUCUGAGCAGUUCUCAGAUUUACACAUGUUCCAGCAGUCAACCUUCAGUAGGAGUUUCAGAGACCCAAGUGCAUAUCCUGAUUCCUGCACGAGCUCUUUCCCCACUGAACCUUCUUAUCAAGUAAUUUCAAAGGGACAAUUUUAUAAGACCACAACUAAGAAGAAUCAGCUUUUAAGAUAUUUUCAAUUAUGUGUGUAUGUGUGUGUCUCUGUGUGGGUUAGGUGCGUGUGUGGAUGCAAUGCCUUCAGGGUUCAAAUGGGCAUCAGAUUCCCUGGAGCUGCCCAGUGUGGGUACUAGGAACUGAACUCAGUCCUCUGCAAAGAGGAGAACAUGCUGGACUAUCUCUUCACCCGAGAAACAUGAGUGUCUUUGAAAGGAAUGAUCUUUUGUAAAAUGUCAAUGUUUUCCUGAAAACAUGUCGCCAUGCUAGUUUUGCAGAAGUCACAUAAAGCAUGUAACUGCUUUUACUAGGAUUUCACCCAUGCUAUGGGCAAAUCUAUAGUCCUGCCACACAGUGUAGAAACAAUUCUUUGAUGUGGGUCUGUAAAUCUUAUUUUAGCCACAAAACCAAGUAUGAAUUAACUAAGCUCUGUAGAGGAUACAUAGGCUGUAUUGUAUGCAGUGCCCAACACCGUUGGCAACCGUUUCCCUAGAUGUCGCUGCUUCGUGUGCAAUGGUUCCUACAUUUAAGCAGUGCGAUCAACAGGGAAAAACUUUCCAUUCCCACUGCUAAUAUCAGAAAAGUCCUCCUGAUACUAAUAUAGCUUGACUUUCUACUUUAGUACAAACAUCAAGGGACAAAAAUCUACAAUUGCAUACAUGUGAGAGGCAAAUUGUUCGAUCAAAUCACAUUUGUUUUUAGCAGUUUGAGAGAGAUUUUCAUGGCUAAGAACUUUUCUACUAUUUGUGGGAUCUCAUUGCAGGGUUUCAAGUUAAGACAUAAAAGGCUUUUUAUUUUUAUGGGUCAUGCAUCUUUAAGGUGUUUAGGUGGAUGUUACAUGUUCACAGUUUUCUGUAGCUACCUACUAUCUCAGAAGGGAUCUAGGAAAUAGAGCUGCCCACAAGAGAACUUUUUUCCUGGAGUCUUUCCCUGCGCUAUUGUCUUUAUAGGGAUGAAAUUUGGCAGCCAUGUCUAAAGAGUCUGAAGAAUACAACUGGCGAAGAGAACAGGCAGAGACCCUGAAUGAUGUCAUGAGACAGCUGGGGAAGGAAUAGACAUGGAGAUGACCCUGAGUGAUGCCAUAAGAAGGUGACUGGGAGAGGCAGGAUCCAAACCCAGUUCCUCGGACUUGAUAAACGAGCACUCAUCCACCUGAGCUCUCUCUCCAGCGCAGCUCUGGGACUGUCGCCCUAAUAAAUGUUAGCCAUGUAUGCUAACUAGUGAGUCUUUUGAGUCCUGGAAUCACCAAAGGAAACAACCAUGUACAUAAAAUGGAAUAAAUUAAAAUCCACGUGUCCAUCUGA